CACCGGCGGCCCGAGUGGUAACCGAUAUUAUUGGGUCUAAAGGGUCCGUAGCCUGUUUAAUAAGUCCUUUGGGAAAUCUGGCAGCUUAACUGUCAGGCUGCUAAAGGAUACUGUUAAACUUGGGACCGGUAGACGUAGGGGGUACUCCAGGGGUAGGAGUGAAAUCUUGUAAUCCCUGGGGGACCAUCUGUGGCGAAGGCGCCCUACGAGAACGGGUCCGACGGUGAGGGACGAAAGCUAGGGGAGCAAACCGG
rnacentral:rRNA from 1 species